rnacentral:rRNA from 1 species
CAACGUGGGUGACCUGCCUCCGAGUGGGGAAUAACGCUGGGAAACCAGCGCUAAUACCGCAUACGCUCAGCAAUUCGCUUUGCUGAGUAAAGCGUACGCGCUAGGAGAGGGGCCUGCGCCCGAUUAGCUAGUCGGUGGGGUAAUGGCCUACCGAGGCGACAAUCGGUAGCUGGUCUGAGAGGAUGAUCAGCCACACUGGGACUGAGACACGGCCCAG